AGUGAACGCUGGCGGUAGGCCUAACACAUGCAAGUCGAACGGCAGCACAGUAAGAGCUUGCUCUUACGGGUGGCGAGUGGCGGACGGGUGAGGAAUACAUCGGAAUCUACUUUUUCGUGGGGGAUAACGUAGGGAAACUUACGCUAAUACCGCGUACGACCUACGGGUGAAAGCAGGGGAUCUUCGGACCUUGCGCGAUUGAAUGAGCCGAUGUCGGAUUAGCUAGUUGGCGGGGUAAAGGCCCACCAAGGCGACGAUCCGUAGCUGGUCUGAGAGGAUGAUCAGCCACACUGGAACUGAGACACGGUCCGGACUCCUACGGGAGGCAGCAGUGGGGAAUAUUGGACAAUGGGCGCAAGCCUGAUCCAGCCAUACCGCGUGGGUGAAGAAGGCCUUCGGGUUGUAAAGCCCUUUUGUUGGGAAAGAAAAGCAGCAGGUUAAUACCCCGCUGUUCUGACGGUACCCAAAGAAUAAGCACCGGCUAACUUCGUG
rnacentral:rRNA from 1 species